rnacentral:lncRNA from 1 species
UCUCUCAAGGCUGUGUGGUGUGGUGGCCGCAUAGUGGCACCCUGGUGUUGGCCCUUGGUUGGGGGGAGUGUGUCUGCCACUCCCUGGUAUCCUGCCCAUGCCACCCUUUCUGAUCUCUGACCUCUCUCCUGCAGCAACUGACCAACCACAUCCGGGAGUCGCUGCCGGCCCUACGUAGCAAACUACAGAGCCAGCUGCUGUCCCUGGAGAAGGAGGUGGAGGAGUACAAGAACUUUCGGCCCGACGACCCCACCCGCAAAACCAAAGCCCUGCUGCAGUAUGUACCCCGGCACCCACCACCACCACCACCCU